GGAGGAAAGCAGGGGAUCGCAAGACCUUGCGCUUUUGGAGCGGCCGAUGUCUGAUUAGCUUGUUGGUAAGGUAAAAGCUUACCAAGGCUUCGAUCAGUAGCUGGUCUGAGAGGACGACCAGCCACACUGGGACUGAGACACGGCCCAGACUCCUACGGGAGGCAGCAGUGGGGAAUUUUGGACAAUGGGGGCAACCCUGAUCCAGCCAUGCCGCGUGAGUGAAGAAGGCCUUCGGGUUGUAAAGCUCUUUCAGCCGGAACGAAACGGUUACGGUUAAUACCCGUGACUACUGACGGUACCGGAAGAAGAAGCACCGGCUAACUACGUGCCAGCAGCCGCGGUAAUACGUAGGGUGCGAGCGUUAAUCGGAACUACUGGGCGUAAAGCGUGCGCAGGUGGUUUUGUAAGUCAGAUGUGAAAUCCCCGGGCUCAACCUGGGAACUGCGUUUGAAACUACAAGGCUAG
rnacentral:rRNA from 1 species